GGGCCUAUAGCUCAGCUGGUUAGAGCGCACGCCUGAUGAGCGUGAGGUCGGUGGUUCGAGUCCACUUAGGCCCACCA
rnacentral:tRNA from 1 species